rnacentral:lncRNA from 1 species
CUCUGUAUUAGUAAACUUCAACAUAUAAUGCAUUCUCAAUGUUACGUAAAAUUCUAAUAAUGUUUGCCAUGGGACGGCAUCACAAAAACACAAUGGUUUGGUUAUUUCCGAUAAUUUCUGAAUAAUGCAUUCUUUUAUGCCAGCUUUAUGUGAGGAAUCUCGCAUAUGCGUAACAUAUGUGCUUUCACAUACAGAUAUGAAGUCUAAAAAAUCAUUUAUUGAAGCACAGUAUUCUUCUUUUGCAACCUUCAUUGUUUUCUUACAGCCUCUUUCUUUCCGCUGGCUGAUAAUAAUAGACGUUAUAGUCUUUCUUGUUGCCUCAACAUAUAUUUUAUUUGCAAUAGGGCACAAAACGACAAUGGCAAUGCCAGUAAUGCUACACGUAUAA